rnacentral:lncRNA from 1 species
CGUAACGCUACUUCAAGCCUACCCAGUUUGAGAUCGAGAGAGAAGAAGAAAGCGAGAGAGAAGGAGGAAGAUGGUUCUUCUAGAGAAGCUGUGGGACGACGUGGUGGCCGGGCCUCAGCCCGAGCGUGGCCUCGGCCGGCUGCGCAAGCUCGCCACCAGCAAGCCCCUCGUCGUCGCAGGUCAGAACGAUCUCUCUCGUGCGAUCUUUCUUGGUGGCCGACAUGAUGAACGCGAAACAGGGUCCGUGAUGUAUGUUUUGAUGGUGUUCGGUGCGUUGCAGAUGCCGGGGAAGGCGGCGAGAGCAGCGCCGGAGGGAAGUACCAGCGGUCGGUAUCCAUGCCGACGACCCCGCGGACGCCCGCCACGCCGGCGUCCCCGGCGUCGGCCCGCAAGGAGAACGUGUGGAGGAGCGUGUUCAACCCGGGGAGCAACCUCGCCACCAAGAAGAUCGGCGGCGAGUACUUCGACAAGCCGCAGCCCAACUCCCCCACCGUCUACGACUGGUAAGGUCCUCUGCUUUGUAAGCACGGAUUUCAUUCACAUCAUGUUUCAUCAUUUAAUGGAUCUCUAUGUCCCAAGAGUGGAAACAAAUAGUGGGUCGCAACUUAAUUAUGUAGAGAAAGAUCGGAGGAUGUUGGACUAGAUGAUCCGAGUUUUUCGGCUACCCGGGUCGAUAAUCGAUUCGAAUUCUCGUGUAAAUUGACGCCGUUUUUGGUGAAUUACGAUGCGAUCGCAGGC